UACAGAGGGUGCAAGCGUUGUUCGGAAUUAUUGGGCGUAAAGCGCGUGUAGGCGGCUUGGCAAGUCGGGUGUGAAAGCCCUCAGCUCAACUGAGGAAGUGCGCCCGAAACUGCUUGGCUUGAGUGCCAGAGAGGAUGGCGGAAUUCCCGAAGUAGAGGUGAAAUUCGUAGAUAUCGGGAGGAACACCGGUGGCGAAGGCGGCCAUCUGGCUGGUAACUGACGCUGAGACGCGAAAGCGUGGGUAGCAAACAGG
rnacentral:rRNA from 1 species